AGGUUAUGUAAGCUGUGGGACCCUCAGAACUGCCUAUCUAUAGGGCAAGCAGUGCCCACUCUGAAGAGCACCCAUAUCAGGGGGCAUCCUAAUGUGGAAGUGACUAGUGAAGCCCAGGGGAGGGACCCACCUUGGCACCAAUGUCGCGGCUCUUGGCUCGAAGCUUGUUGACCUGGGACUCAGCGAUGUCCGCCCGCUCCUCUGCCUCAUCCAGCUCAUGCUGCACCUUGCGGAACUUGGACAGAGCAAGCCAGAGGCCGUCUUAAAGAAUAUCGAAUAACAGGAUACGUUCCCAGAUUUGUGGCUUUGGGCCUCAUUGCGGCUGCGUGUCUCUGCGUCCAGGGAGGUCUGCAGCGAGUCCACCACCCGCUGGUGGUUGCGCUUGGCCUGUUCCAUCUCCUCGUCCUUCUCUGCCAGCUUCCGCUCGAUCUCUGCCUUGAUCUGGUUGAACUCCAGCUGGGCCCGGAGGAUCUUGCCCUCCUCGUGCUCCAGGGAGGCCUGGGAAGGGGUGGGGCGAGGGCGGGCAGACAGGGCACAGGGCAGGGUUGAGAGGGAGGAUGAGAAGAUACAGGGUGUCAGCCAGGACUAUGGCCCAGAGAAGAAGAGCUGAGAAGAGAUGGGGAGGUGGGAUCUGCACCCCAUGCCCACCACGGUGCUAUUGGGGAGAAAGUGCUGGACUCCCUGGGCUUCCUCUGUCAAGAAAAGAGUUUGGACCUCACAAUUGCCAGACUCUCCAGCACUAACACUGCAUAAAUUCCUGACCUGUCUAAAGUAUUAUAGAAAAGGGAGGAAUUUUUAUAACCACAAAUUCAAAAUUUUCUCUUGCUUUCCAGGUCCCUCACCCUUUCCUGAGAAAAGUUAGAAGCCCAGAAAACUCAGGGCUAUUCCCAGGUGCUUAAAAAUGAAGAGUAACAAUAGCUAAUAUAUAUUAAGUGCUUAGAUGUGUUACGUCAUUUAAUCUUUAUAAUAAUCGUGUAAAAUCAUAUGAGGUAUGUACAGUUAAUUCCAUUUUACAGAUGAGAAAACUGAGGCAGAGAUUAAAGAUUUUGCCCAACGCUGCAGUGAAAGUCCUCAAGCUGUGUUCCAACUCAGGCCUGUUUGACUCUGGAACCCACACUCCUACCCACUGUCUAAGUGGUUAUUAUUAUGGCCAGAUUCCAACUUUUAAAACCUGGUGGGAAACCAAACCUUUGGCCUCUAAUCAGACUGACAUUUUCCUUUGUGCAGACCUUGGCUUUAGAGGUAGUCAUGGGUAGUGAAUAGUGGGUAGAUAAUGUUGAACAAAGAAUAUGGAAUGAAAGAUUUUGUCUUGGGGUCAGGGUCACCCCCAAGUGAGGGGGAAGUGGGAGACAGUGGCAGAACAGGGAUGGGGUGCAGGGAGCUCUCGGCCCUCACCUCUGCCUCCUCCAGGGCUGACUGCAGCUCCAGCUUCUCCACCUCCAGCUGUUUGCGGACCUUCUCCAGCUCGUGCACAUUCUUUCCUCCUUCUCCUAGCUGCUCAGUUAGGUCCGAGAUUUCCUCUGGGGACCAGAGGGCCAGAAAGCUCAAAGCCUGUGUUCCCCCUGCCCCUGCAUGGCCCUCCCUCCCACCAAUCAUCUCUGGCCUCUUGGACCCCCAGCACACCCUGAAGGUUCUUGUUCUCCCGCUUGAAGGUCUCUAGGUGCUCCAGGGACUCCUCGUAGGCGUUCUUGAGCUUGAAGAGCUCUGUGCUGAGGGAGCGAGCCUCCUUCUGCGAGGACUCCAGCUCCGACUGCGACUCCUCAUACUUCUGCUUCCACUCGGCCAGGAUCUGCCGGGGGGCAAGGCUCACUCUUCAGCCCCCCAGCCUUAGCUCCCCAGCCCUCCUGCUUCCCAGUGCCCCAGCCCCCAGCCUCAGCCCCAUGUCCAAGAAUCUGUCCCUGGUCCCGAGCCUGGGCUCAGCCCUCCUCCCCCACCUCCAAGGAGGAUGACUCUGGCCUUUCACUGAACCCCUCAUGCCCCCUUGCCCUGCAUGCUGGCUGUGGCCCCCACCCAUGGCCCACCUUGUCGAAGUUCCUCUGCUUCUUGUCCAGGGCUGCAGCAGCAGCAUUGGAGCGCUCUACAUCCACCAUCAAGUCCUCGAUCUCAUUCUGUAGCCGGUGCUUGGUCUUCUCCAGCGAGGAGCACUUGGCAUUAACAGCCUCCACGGCCUCCUCGGCAUCCUGCAGCCGCUGGGCCAGCUUCUUUCUGCCCAGCUUCUGCUUCACCCGCUGCAGGUUGUCGAUCUGCUCGCCCAGCUCGGCCACGCUGUCGGCGUGCUUCUUGCGCAGGGCCGCGGCAGUGGCCUCGUGCUGCAGCGUGGCCUCCUCCAGGUCCCGCCGCAUCUUCUGGAACUCGGCCUCGCGCUUCUUGUUCAUCUCGAUCUGCACGGACGUGGCCCCGCCGGCCUCUUCCAGCCGCUCGCUGAUCUCCUCCAGCUCCCGGGACAGGUCUGAGCGCAGCUUCUCCACCUUAGCCCUGGCGGUGCGCUCGGCCUCCAGCUCCUCCUCCAGCUCCUCGAUGCGCGCCUGGGUCAGACACAAAGGGCUCAGACCCACCGCCUGGACCCCUCCACUGGAAUUCCCCCGGCUCUAAAAGGCUACCAGGAACUUAGGUCCCUCUCAAGCAGUGGUUCUCAACUAGGGGCAAUUUUGUGCCCCAGGGAACGGUUGGCAAUGUCUGAUUGUCAUGUCUUGGUGGGGCUUGCUACUGGCAUCUAGAGGGUAGAGGCCAGGGAUGCUGCUAAACAUCCUAUAAUGCAUAGGCCAUCAAUAGGAAUUUGGUUGAAACUCCCGAGGGCAUCUCAGACCCAGUGUGAACAUCUGCAGCCCCAAAUCCUGAGAACCUGUGUUUGAAGGGGGAUCCUGGGGUCCUGUGAGAUCAAGAAGUUCAGGGUCCCCAGAUUCACUAGGCUCUGUUCCGCUAUCCAUAACACAGGAAAGUGAGUGCUUGUAUUUUACAAAUAUUUGUGACAAUAUACCUCGAAACAAUCAAAUACCUUUGCAAUUCUCCAAGUUAAUCACAAAGUCCAAUCAACCAUAUUCCUUGCUCUCCCAGGCUUGCUGUGUUUAUGCCCAGGGUUGGGUUUCAACAUGAUUUCUCCCUUCCAGGCCAGGAAAGUGCUAGUAGGGUACUCUCCUCUUCACCUCAACUCCUCAUCCUCUUCAAGUGCCCUUACCUCACUUUUCGUGCCUUAGCCUUGGUCUUGACUAAAUUGGGAGAAUAUCCUAUCUACCAUUUUGAUCUGUUGUCUGGCUAGCCAGGAGCAAAACAGGGGUUCAGUGGAAAUCCCUUCACCUCAGAUUAUGGACAGCUUUAAUGGACUGUUCAUGGAUGGGUCCUACGAGCAGCAGAGAGGACCACCGUGCCUCUGCUCCCAGGAUGGAGAAGGUGGGACUUCUGAGCAAGAUCUUGGGGAUGAAGGAGGAGCCAUAGCCUAUUGCCAAGACCUGAUGAGAUUAACAGGACUGUUAUUCUGUGUCCAAGAGGCCAAAGAAGUUGCCCAGACCUAGGGUGGAAGAACCUCAGAUUGGCCCGAUAUUCUAGCUAAAACCCAGAAGGGGCAUCCAAGAAGAUGGGAGGGCAAAUUACUAAUGAAGGCGGGCCAGUCCCUGUGCAGCCCCGGAGGAGUGGAAUUGUGUUCAUACAUUACUUGCAGCCUGGGCUAUGGGCCUCAAGUGCAGAGGGGAGACUACCUCUUUCUACCAGCCACAGUCUGCCCGAAAGUGAGAGGACAAGGUCCUGCCCCAGUAGCCGAGUUCCUGUUGCUCUUGGGGUCACUAUGUCCAGACCUGGCCAUGUAGCUUCUGUAGCUCUAAAAUGGGGAUGGCAGUGGACUUCCAGGGCUCUUCGGACAAACCCGAUACUAAAAGCACAUUAAGGUUUGAGGUUCAUUAAAGCUAAGGGAGACUAUGGCUGUUCACUUAAUCCUGAGCUGCAGAGGAAUGAGAAGGCCAUUGAGAAGACAAAACAAUACCUCCGUAGGCUAGUGGCUGGCUGACUUCUCUAAACUGGGCUAUAUUAAUAUGAUGCUUGUAUAGAAUUUCCUAGUUGACAAAGUGGUUUCAAAUACAUUAUCCCCUCUGGUCCUGUGUGGUAGGUAUUGUCAGUCUCAUUUUACAGGUGAGAAGAGAAUCUGAGGAUCAGGGAGGGUAAGUGACUUGCUCAAGGUUGUUGGAAUUGGCUCUUAUCAUGAGUGCCCUAUGGGGACUCAGCCUGGGUUAGUGGCUGGGGUUAGUACCGGGAAGAAUAUGAACAGAGCAGCUCACAGGAAGGUGCUCCUUGAAGCUUUUUUUUUUUUUUCACUCCGCGUUCAGAGGGCAGAACUACCAGAGGAAGGAUUAGAGGAGAAUAGAGCUCUAUCGUUUGUCUUAGAGUAGAAAGUCCCUGAGGCAGAGCAGAUCUCAGAAGGAGAAGCCCUUUAGUAGGUACGAAUCCCCCUUCUCAAACAGUUUUGCUAACGUAAUGUAUUCUUGCUCUAUGGGGGAAGGCUAGUGUUCCUGAGCGCCUGUAACUCAGGGAUGGUUGGGUCUAUGAGGCUGCCUGGAGUUCCAGAUAUUGUGUAGAACCCUAAGCAGCUACUGCAGCCUCAGUUACCUCAGGGCUAUUGAGCUCCCACUUUCAUUCACUGGGAAAAAAAGUCACCUGGUUUUCCUUCAGUUUCUUCUGUAGCUGAAGGGCCAGUGCCUGCUCAUCCUCAAUCUUAUUGUUCUGCUGAUUAAUGUCAAACUCCUUCCUGCAGGAGAAGGGUGGGGGCGGGGGGGUGACAGGUAGCCUUCCUUCCUCUGGGGCUCAUUCUCUUCUUGGCCUUAGUAUGCCAGAAUCGGCACCUCCCCCUCCCCUCGCCAGCCCAGAGAGUGGAGGAAGAGGGCUGUGAUUGACCUCAUUCCCAGUGUGCCCAAGGCAACUGUGGCCAGUGGAGGCGCAGCACCCUGCACUCUAUCUACCAGGCCAGACACCUCCAUUAGCCCCUCCUGGCCACCACAGUCUCCUACUUCUUAAGCUUUUCUUCCAGCUGCAGUUUAUCAUUUUCCAGGUCCAUGAUGCUCUCCUGGGUCAGCUUCAGGUCGCCCUCCAGUUUCCGCUUUGCUCGCUCCAGGUCCAUGCGCACCUUCUUCUCUUGCUCUAGGGAUCCCUCCAGCUGAUGGAGAGAAGAAAAUAAGCAAAGUGUGGAAAUUUGAAAUCCAUAGUGUAUGCUCUUUUGCCUCCUUCUAAACUUGAAGUCCAGUGGGAUUGGAAGUCAAACCAGUAGAGAAAUCCUGCAAGCACAAAGGAUUCAGAGACCUACUCUAGUGAGGAAUUACAGGGAGCAAAAAAGGUUCAAGGGCCAUAGAAGUUAAUUCUAGGGAUCAGGACUUUCUGGACCAUUGGUGUUGCCUGCAAAAUCUUGCUCUGAGAGCAGGAGCAUGGUUCUUACUACUCACGUCAUCCACCUGCUGCUCCAGCUUGACCUUAGACUUAGACAGGCUGUUAACCUUGUCUUCCUCAACCUGAAGGUCAUCCAGGGCCUGCUGAUGGGCCUCUUGUAGAGCUUUCUUCUCCUUGGUCAGCUUAGCGAUGAUCUCAUCCAGCCCAGCCAUCUCCUCUGUUAGGUUCUUCACCUGCCGACCAAAAACCCAUCCCCUUUAGGGUCAAAGAUCACCAGCCUGGAGACAUCUAUGGGGACCUCCAUGCCAAGGACCAGGGCCACACUCUAGUCUGGGAGUCUUGAGGAGACCUGGGCUGAAGCCAGAGGGAGCUGCCCUCACCUUGUUCUCAGUUGCAUGCUUCUCCUUCUCCACCUUGGCCAGUGUCAGCUCCAGGUCAUCGAUGUCCUUCUUGAGCUCUGAGCACUCGUCUUCCAGCUUGCGCUUCUUGGCAGUGAGCUCCGCGUUCAUCUCCUCCUCGUCCUCCAGCCUCUCAUUCAUCUCCUUUACUUUGGCCUCCAGCUGAAUCUUGUUUUUGAUCAGCUGGUCGCAGCGCUCCUCAGCAUCAUUGAGGUUGUCUUGUUCCUGGGAGAAGAGAACAGGGAGGAAGCUGAUGGUUAAAGAGAGGAGACCUAGGGUCUUAAAAAGAGCUGGCACUCCUAGACUCCCAGCCCCUGGUUGUGAGAUGGGCUAUAAUCUAGGAGAGGGGAGGAGAGGGCUGAAGAGAUAAUCAUGUGGCCUCACCGCCUGCACUUGGAGCUGCAGGUCAUUCUUCUCCUGCAGCAGGGACACCAUCUUCUCCUCCAGCUCCUUGCGGCGAGCCUCAGACUUCUCCAGCGUCUCUUUGAUGCGCCCAAACUCUUCCUUCAUGGUGGCCAUCUCCUUCUCCGUCUCUGCGCUCUUCAGCAGCGGCUUGAUCUUGAAGUAGAGUUUCAUCCAGGGCCAAUUCUUGACCCCCAUGAAGGCACGAAUGUUCCACUGGAUUACCAGCAGGGCAUCCCUGGCAAGGAAACGUGGAGGCAGGGUUGGGCACUAUAAAAGAGAGCUUCCCAAUCAUGGGCCCUACUAAGCAAGUUCGUAGGCAUGUAGACUUUCUUCUUGUGCACACGCACCUCCAACAUCACUACAUUGAGCAUGGAGUUGCUUGAUAAAUAUUUAUUAAUCAAUUUGAUGAAAGGGCAGUUUAUAUCCUCCCAGCUGGGAUAUUAGUUGUAAUGGAAACUACCACUUAUAGAAUGUCUACUCUGUUCAGUUUUUCUAUUCUCAUAAGAACUUCAAAUAUGUUAAAAAUUAUGUAGGGGUUUACAUAUAAGAAUGUCUAUAAUAAGUAUGUAAGUUAUGCAGCAUGAAAGCAAAAUGACUAUCCAUGAACCUACCGCCCAAACAAGAGCCGAAGUGUUACCAGCCAUUGAUCUACCUGUGCGUUCCUUCCUACACCCCUGUUACCCCGCCAGGAGCAGCCACCACUCUGAUUCUUAUUUUUCCUUUCCUUGCUUUUUCAAAAAUUACUUUAACCACAUAUGAAUGUAUCUUAAUUUUAAUUUAAUUUUAUUUAUUUUGAGAUGGAGUUUCACUCUUGUCACCCAGGCUGGAGUGCAAUGGCAUAAUCUCAGCUCACUGCAACCUCCACCACCCAGGUUCAAGAGAUUCUCCUGCCUCAGCUCCUGAGUAGCUGGAAUUACAGGUGCCUGCCACCAUGCCCAGCUAAUUUUUGUAAUUUUAGUAGAGAUGGGGUUUCACCAUGUUGGCCAGGCUGGUCUCCAACUCCUGACCUCAGGUGAUCCAUCUGCCUUAGCCUCCCAAAGUGCUGGGCUUACAGGCAUAAGCCACUGUGCCCAGCCAUAUGUAUGUAUCUUUAAACAAUGAAUGGCUGGUUUUGAUUAUUUAUGAGCUUUAUAAAAAUUACAUCAUACUGUAUGUAUCCUUCCAAGAUUUGCCUUUGUUUACUAACAAUAUGCUUUAAUGUUCAAACAUAUUGUAUCAUGUAGUUGGAGUUCACUUCUUUUCACUGUUUUAUAAUGUUCCACUGAAUGACUGUAAUACUAUUUACCCAUUCCCCUGUGGAUGGAAAUUCAAGUUGUUUUAAGAUCUUUGCUGUUAUGACCAAU